CCCUUAGAUGUUCUGGGCCGCACGCGCGCUACACUGAUGCAUUCAACGAGCCUAUCCUUGACCGACAGGUCCGGGUAAUCUUUGAAUCUGCAUCGUGACGGGGAUAGAUUAUUGCAAUUAUUAAUCUUCAACGAGGAAUGCCUAGUAGGCGCAAGUCAUCAGCUUGCGUCGAUUACGUCCCUGCCCUUUGUACACACCGCCCGUCGCUCCUACCGAUUGGGUGUGCUGGUGAAAUGUUCGGAUCGGCCGUUUGUCGCGGUUUCCGCGUCAUGUGGCUGAGAAGUUCAUUAAACCCUCCCACCUAGAGGAAGGGGAAGUCGUAACA
rnacentral:rRNA from 1 species